rnacentral:rRNA from 1 species
AGGAGGCGUCGAGCGGCGGACGGGUGAGUAAUGCAUAGGAAUCUGCCCGGUAGUGGGGGAUAACCUGGGGAAACCCAGGCUAAUACCGCAUACGCCCUACGGGGGAAAGCAGGGGAUCUUCGGACCUUGCGCUAUCGGAUGAGCCUAUGUCGGAUUAGCUAGUUGGUGAGGUAACGGCUCACCAAGGCUGCGAUCCGUAGCUGGUCUGAGAGGAUGAUCAGCCACAUCGGGACUGAGACACGGCCCGAACUCCUACGGGAGGCAGCAGUGGGGAAUAUUGGACAAUGGGCGAAAGCCUGAUCCAGCCAUGCCGCGUGUGUGAAGAAGGCCUUCGGGUUGUAAAGCACUUUCAGUGAGGAAGAAAGCCUUGAGGUUAAUACCCUCGAGGGAGGACAUCACUCACAGAAGAAGCACCGGCUAACUCCGUGCCAGCAGCCGCGGUAAUACGGAGGGUGCGAGCGUUAAUCGGAAUUACUGGGCGUAAAGCGCGCGUAGGCGGCUUGAUAAGCCGGUUGUGAAAGCCCCGGGCUCAACCUGGGAACGGCAUCCGGAACUGUCAGGCUAGAGUGCAGGAGAGGAAGGUAGAAUUCCCGGUGUAGCGGUGAAAUGCGUAGAGAUCGGGAGGAAUACCAGUGGCGAAGGCGGCCUUCUGGACUGACACUGACGCUGAGGUGCGAAAGCGUGGGUAGCAAACAGGAU